CAUGCCUACGGGGGGCAGCAGUGGGGAAUAUUGGGCAAUGGGGGAAACCCUGACCCAGCGACGCCGCGUGAGGGAAGAAGGUUUUCGGAUUGUAAACCUCUGUCCUUGGUGACGCUAAUGACGGUAGCCAAGGAGGAAGCCACGGCUAACUACGUGCCAGCAGCCGCGGCAAUACGUCGGCGGCGAGCGUUGUCCGGAAUUACUGGGUGUAAAGGGAGCGUAGGCGGGAGAGCAAGUCGACUG
rnacentral:rRNA from 1 species